GCUUGAUUAGUGUAGCGGUUAUCGUCAGUACUCUCUCUAAUUCUUAUUCGGAAUUUCCGGGAACCCUGGUUCGAUUCCAGGAUCGAGCU
rnacentral:tRNA from 1 species